rnacentral:misc_RNA from 1 species
AUGGCAGUAUCGGCCUACUAGGCAGCGCUAGUGUACACUUGACUAAGUAUAAGCGAUCACGUCACAAUGUCAGCGAGCGACAUUGGCUGUGCCUCGGCUCGGGUACUCAGCUACAACUUCAACAUCCUUCCUCGAGGGAGCGGCGGAUAUCAACAUGAGCGCAUCGAAACCUUUCUUGCUAGCGUCGACGCGUACGACGUGGUGCUACUGCAGGAGGUUUACGCGACGAGUUACUUCCCGUACGUAAUGCAGAAGCAGCUGUGCUAUCAGAAGAUGCUUCUGGACGGACUCAAGGCAAAGGGGUUUCACCACUACGUGAUAUCGCGACAGCCAUCCUACCUGACAAUGCUGCGGUACAACGUCUGCUCCGACAACGGCCUCAUAAUCGCCUCGCGGUUUCCGGUGUGGCACCGCGGCUCCUAUACAUUUCGCAACCACGAGCGCGGCGAGGCAACUGUCAGUAAAGGGUGUUUGUUUGCCGAAGUCGAGGUGCCCGCUGCUCAGGGUAAAGGCAGCCAGCGUAUUGUCUUCUUCAAUGUGCAUCUGCGCCCAGAGGACAACCUGCCGUCCGAAUCGUCGCAGAUGCAGCAGGUUCACCGCUUUGUGGAGGCGGCCCUUGCCCAGGUGCGGGAGCAGCGCACGGACGGCGAUGGACCGGCGGCGCUGCAGCAGAAGGGGGCCGAGGUGCCGUUCAUCAUCGCCGGUGACUUCAAUAUCCACGGCAUAGACCCGUUGAACGGGCAUCCUUCAAAGAGGUUCCAGGAGAUGCUGAACCAGUUUCAGGACAUUGGGUCUGUGCGAGAUGUCAUUUACGAGGAGACAGGACAGAACCCACCAACUCGCCCGCCCAUUCUUUUCUUUCCAGAGUUGUCAAAGCUGGAGCGCUACGAAUCGACGCCGCAGCGGCAGGACUACUUCCUGGCGACGACGUGCAUCCAGGUGGAGAAGCCGCGCCUGGAGAAGUACGUGGUGAGCAGCCGCCGCCCGUACACGUACUUAUCGGACCACUUUGGCAUUACGUGCCGUGUGACGUUGGCUCUGAACCCGAGCGUCAGCUUCGAAGGGCGCUCGCUCCUGCGUCUCAACUUUUCCUCUCUCGUCGAGGCAGCCAACCACGAGCACUCAAAUCCGUCGUCGGAUGCGCGGCUUGAGGCGGUCCUCAUCGCUGCGUUUGUGUGGUGGCUCUUCUCCUUCAGUUUCAUGUCUCUGGUGCUGUGCGCUGCGUUCGCUUGGUUAGUUCGGUGGGCCCAGAACUACAGCGCCUCACCGGUGCUGAGUGAGCCGCCUCUGCUGACGAUGGAGGCGCUCAAAGAGAAGGGGGAAAUGUGCUUUGCCAACAGAUCGCUCAACCCUCUCGCGGGAGUGCGGACGCUCGGGGAAAUGUGGGAGCGCAGUGUAACCCGCUUCCGAACGUUUAAGUGCCUCGGCGCCACCAGUGAGGUCGGAGAGUCGGAGUGGAUGACGUACGGCACGGUAGACGUCCGUGCGCGGGAGCUCGGUGCUGGCCUCUUGGAAAUGGGUUUUCGCGCUGGCGAUCUGAUCGGCGUGGCGUGCGAGCCAUGCCGCAACAUCGUUAUUCUCGAAGUGGCGUGCGCUUUGUACGGCUUCACUACGGUGCCGCUGGCGGGUAAGCGCAGCACGAUGAGUGCUCUGCUGGACCGCCACAAGAUUCGUGUCGCCGUCGCGGACCGCAGCUCUGUGGCGAUGCUUCUCACGUGCCGCUCCACCAAACUCGAGGCCGUCAUGUACACCAGUGCCUUCGCCGAUGAGGACGACCAUGCGACGGCGAAGGAUCUCAACAUCCGGCUCAUCCCUUUUGAGUUUGUUGAGCAAAAGGGGCGACUGUGCCCGGUCGCACCAGCGAAGGAGCACGUGACGACGGACUCCGUGUUCACGUACACAUUGGACAACACGAACAGUUUGGCGAGUGAUGACGGGAGUGCGCUGCUGCCGGUGCGUCACUCUAGCGUCCUGUACGAUCUGAGCUUGUUGCUGAUGACGGGCGUGCUUCCCUCGUCGUUUAAGGGGGAGUCGAUGGUGUGGUUCAGUCCCAUGGCGCUGCUCUUUCAUCGCGUGUGCGUGCUUGGGAUGCUGAGUCAGGGCAACGCCAUUGCUACCGUGGACGCCGCCCACCUGCAAGAAGCCUUCGUGAAGUUUCAACCUACUCUCUUGGUCACCGCCCCGACUCUCUUCAGCACGAGCCGCUUGCAGCUUAGCCGCGCGCAGCACCGGCACAGCGCUGUGUACAACUGGUUCUUCAACCGUACCUUUCAGCUGCGCUCGCGUCUCAUCCACAUUAAGCGGCAGGACAGUUCCCUUCUCCGCUUCAUGUUUUUCCGCGCCUUCCAGGAGCAGCUAGGCGGGCGCGUGCGCAAGAUAAUUUUGAGCGUCUCGCAGGAGAGCACCGCGUUCAGUCUACUGGAGCACGUCAGUGUGUGCUAUGUGCCGCUGGUGUGUGAGGUGAGCUACCUAAACUGCUUCGGCGUGUGUGCAAUCGAUGGCACGACAGCGCCCUCGUUGCAGGUCGACUUGGAGCCGAUCAGUGACCUCUCGGAUGGCGUCGGUAUCGGGCAACUGGUCAUCACGAAGAAGGGCGAGCCGCGCAGGCGUCUCGAGAUUGCGGCGCAGUGGAAGCGCGAUGGCACGGUUAAGUUUCUGGGGGAACCGCUUGGGAUCCUCUGGCCAGUUGCCUAUCAGUAUGUGAUUGCAGCGGAGCUGGAGCGCAUUUUUUCCGUCUCACGGUACAUCAACGCCAUCUUUGUCUAUUGUGACCCUCUGAAGCCGAUCAUCGCUGUUGUGUACCCGAACCGCGACACGAUCGAAUUUGAGUGGCGCCAGUCCCACUGCUGCGACGGCCCCGCACGGCAGCUCGGCUGGACGGACCUGGUUGCGUACGCCACGUCAAUAAUCACGGCCGACCUUGCUUGUAUCGCUCGAGAGGAGCAGCUGCACCCGUCACAGGUUCCCGAGUUUGUGCACCUCCAUCCGCACGCGUUCAGCGACCACAGCACCUUUCUCACUCCUUUCGGCAAGAUUCGUCGAGACGCCGUGCACAAGUACUUCAGCUCUGUGUUUGACAGGCUCUACAGCGGUGUGGCCACCUCGCCGCUUGCCGCGCUCACCGCGGACUUGCAGGAGGAUGUGAGUGACGUUGAGAGCAGUGGCACGAAGCUGGGCUCGAUUUGCGAUUUUGAUCUGCGAGUGCCGGUCACCAUCGACAUUGGCGGCACAUUUGCGAAGAUCGCGUUUAUCAUGCCGCCUACGGGAGGCGCGUUUCCGACGUUCCCAUCCAUCAUUCACGAGGCGUCGUCGCUGUCGGAGAAGUUGGGGCUGCGUACUUUUUAUUUCUUUGCGGAUGAGGAAGCAGCCGAGAGCGAGUUGCGCACACGGUCCCACUCGCGCGUCGGCACGCUUCGUUUCUUGAAGAUCCCCUCCCAGCAGGUCCCGCGGUUUGCUGAUUACCUUGCUGGCUCCCACGCCAUCAACAACUUCAAGCCACAGUACACCACGAAGGUGCGCGCCACCGGCGGCGGCGCGUUCAAGUAUGCUUCGGUGGCACGAAACGUCCUGGGCAUUGAGUUCGAUGUGGUGAAGGAGAUGGACGCUGUGGUGAAGGGUCUCAACCUGGUUCUCCGCGUCGCGCCGGAGUCCGUCUUCACGGUGGAUCCGAGCACCGGCGUCCACCACCCGCAUCAGCUUGUGAGCAACGGGGAUGGCUUCUCGCCGUUUCCGUAUCUGCUGAUCAACAUAGGGUCUGGCAUCUCUUUCAUCAAGUGCACCGGCGCCGACGGCUCGCAUGUGCGUGUGGGCGGCUCACCCAUUGGUGGUGCUACGUUCUGGGGCCUCAUUCGCACGAUGACGAAUCUCACGUCGUGGGAGGAGGUGAUGGAGAUUAUGCGGCUGGACGGUCCGGGCGACAACAAGAACGUCGACUUGCUUGUCGGUGACAUCUACGGCUACAACGCAAAGGACUUGCCCGCCAUGCUGUCUAGUGAGACAGUGGCGAGCACCUUCGGCAAGCUGGGGACGGAGCGGUUUUAUGACAUGAGGCGUAGCGUCUGCACCGCCCACUUUGCAGACGACGACGCAGCAGGCGAGAUUCUGUCGCCGAAAGAGUUGAAGACGCCAUCUGUGAUCUCCGAGCUACCUGUCCGCAACGGAACCAAGGCGGCAUCAGCCAUCGAUAUUGUGCGUUCGCUCUUGAACAUGAUUUCAAGUAACGUCACACAGUUGGCAUACCUGCAUGCCCGUCUGCACGGGGUGCCGAACAUCUUCUUCGCGGGCGGCUUUGUGCGGGACAAUGCGAUGAUCUGGAGUCUGAUAAGCACCACAAUGAAGUACUGGUCUUCUGGAGGGUGCCAUGCUCACUUUCUCGAGCAUGACGGCUACCUCGGAGCACUCGGGUGCGCCAUUCUCGAUCCUCAGGGGGAUGCGGCAAAGGAGGAGCAAUAGAGCAGUGACUGCUGUGUGGGAGCCGAGGGAGCUCCGUUGAGUGGUGGGAGUUAGUGGUGUGGAUGGCGCACGCUGAUGGGUCACGCUUCGCCGAAGCGGUCCCUGCACGCGUUCGUUUUUUUUUUUUUUGCCACCCCUCCCCUGCCAGUGGUAUUCUCGACCGCUUUACACGGGCAGCUUCUGAUUUGCACUGCAUUACUGUAUGCGCGGCAACCAGGGCAAGAAGAGCACUGGCACCGCAGCACAGGUUGGUUUGCUGCCCAUUCUCUUCCUUUUCCCCUAAUGAUCGGGAUGGUGUUUUCCUCUUUGUUUUGUGCGCACGCCCGAGACGCCUGAGCGUGUCCCACCGCGAGGCAUAUGAGGGACACGUAAAAGAAUAGCUAACCGCUGCGGACACGACGCCCACGCGCGCCGCUGUUACGUGCAACGUUCCCACGCCUUGUUUGACUGCGCGCAUGGGUGCUCCGUGUCUUUUUGUUGACCUCCUGCGCGUGGUGGCGCACACGUAAAACGGAGGCAGUUGAUGCGCCGAGAAGAGAUUUGUGUAUGUGUGUACCUACCGUGAGGUACUUGUGCCAAUCUCUGGACUUUCUAACAUGUUUUAUGGGGUCGUUGGCCAGCUGUCUGAUGGCCUUCUCUUCCCUGCUUUUCGCUUUGUUUUCGUUCUUAUAAUCAUCUUACGAUUUUUGACGUAUCUGUUUGUUCCCCUUUUUUGUUUUCUUCUCGGGUCGUAUUGGUGGACGUGUUUCCGUUCAGCACGGCUGACUUGCGAAUGCGGCAACUGAGUGCGGCGCCGCGCUUGUAGGCAUCCGCACACAGCUGACGGCGCGACGUAACGGAUGCCGCCUGACUCAUCUUCCUCUCUUCUGUUCGUGGGUACACGUGACACGAUCAACGUGUACGCAUGAAGUCGAGCCACCUCAGGAGGGUCGUGCGACUGUGGCGACUUGGCAGUUGAUCUGAUCCCCUGAGCGUGAUCAAGGCCGGCGAUUAAAGGGAAAAAAAGUAUGUGAUAUAACAGCAACCAAACAACGCCUAGACGAGGUGCCAGGAAUGCUGGCGGAGCAGCGAAGACGACUGCUGCCUCAGACGCUGUCUUGAACUAUUGACGAUGUGCACGUGCUCGCUUUGCCCACCUCUUGCUUUCAUUUUCAAAAGACGAUGAUAGUCAUGUGUCGUCUUGUCCAAUCGAAGGGGGGACUGAUUGAUGUGACUCCCAUUAUACGGGAGUCCUUGGAUGCCCUCCUGCCUCCCUUUUCUUUUGCUUCUGUGACCUGCGUCUUACGUAUGUUACACGGCCAUGUACCUGCCUCCGCCUUUCUCUGUCUUCUCUGGUUUUGCCACGUCGCUGUGCGUCUUUUUGUUUUCCUGAUGUUGCUACUGCCGGGUGAUAUAGUGAAGGCAUAUUUCCUGUGUACUCUCACCGUAUACGAAGUCGCACCUGCACUUGUCAACGGUGCACUUAGUCGCCCCCUCGUUCCUAAUU